rnacentral:rRNA from 1 species
GUGGGGAAUAUUGCACAAUGGGCGAAAGCCUGAUGCAGCAACGCCGCGUGAGGGACGACGGCCUUCGGGUUGUAAACCUCUUUUAGUAGGGAAGAAGCGAAAGUGACGGUACCUGCAGAAAAAGCACCGGCUAACUACGUGCCAGCAGCCGCGGUAAUACGUAGGGUGCAAGCGUUAUCCGGAAUUAUUGGGCGUAAAGAGCUCGUAGGCGGUCUGUCGCGUCCGCUGUGAAAACUGGAGGCUCAACCUCCAGCCUGCAGUGGGUACGGGCAGACUAGAGUGCGGUAGGGGAGAUUGGAAUUCCUGGUGUAGCGGUGGAAUGCGCAGAUAUCAGGAGGAACACCGAUGGCGAAGGCAGAUCUCUGGGCCGUAACUGACGCUGAGGAGCGAAAGCGUGGGGAGCGAACAGGAUUAGAAACCCCAGUAGUCC